GCGGAAAGCGCCCUCUCUCCCUCUCCCCUCCUCUCCUCCGUGACCUCUCUCUCCAUGGCCGCCAAGAGGAAGCUCCGCAGGUCGCCGCCGGCGAAUGCGAAGGCGUAAGCCAAGGAAGAAGACGCGGAGGGGCUCUUCUCUUCGCGCUCCUUCGCCCGCCUCCAAGGAGGCUCCUCAUCUGAUCUGAGCAAGUAGCAAAAGCAGGGAAACACACAUGUUGGUUAUUAAGCAGCAGCAGCAGGAUCAAAUCAGAAGCUUGGAGAAGGAGGGAUCUAGAGGAAGGGGUCUUGUUAUUAAACUGAGUACUGAGCUGUGGUGUCGAUGUAAACAAAGUGUUUUGUUCCCGAAAUACAGCCGUGGUGAUUGUGACAGAGGAUGAUCCAGAUUGCAGCCGUCAUCCUGUCGAUUAUCCCUAGGCCCGGCUGCGCAUCAGACAUAAAGAAAGUUAUAUUAGGAACGCUGGCCUUGGUUUCAGUCAUUAUCAAGGUUCCUAAUUGAGCGAUGCAGCUCUACCAAUGUUCAAGGAGUGUAAACACCUCUGAAUUUUGUUUACAACAUCGACAGCAGUGUUAACCAUCAUGUCAUGAAAAUGCACAUCCAGAUGCAAUCUAUACUGCUAGAAAGAAGAGACACAAUCUGUUAAAGAUUCCGAGGUCACUAAAAAAAAGGGAGAUGUGCACUGUUCAAAGAUUAUUAUUAUUUUCCUUGCACUUGAUAGUUGAUACAUAUGACGGUUUUGGUUGAAUUUUUUAAUACUCAUUAAAAUAAACCCUUUUUCUGUUA